rnacentral:tRNA from 1 species
ACCUAGAUAGCUCAGUCGGUUAAGCAUCUGACUUCAGCUCAGGUCAUGAUCUCAUGGUUCGUGGGUUUGAGUCCCACACUGGGCU